rnacentral:rRNA from 1 species
UGCCAGCCGCCGCGGUAAUACGGAGGGGGCUAGCGUUGUUCGGAAUUACUGGGCGUAAAGGGCGCGUAGGCGGCCACAUAAGUCGGACGUGAAAUCCCUUGGCUUAACCAAGGAACUGCGUCCGAAACUGUGUGGCUAGAGUCCGGGAGAGGGUAGUGGAAUUCCCAGUGUAGCGGUGAAAUGCGUAGAUAUUGGGGGGAACACCAGUGGCGAAGGCGGCUACCUGGACCGGUACUGACGCUGAGGCGCGAAAGCGUGGGGAGCAAACAGGAUUAGAUA